UUGCCUUAAACUAAUGAGUAAGGAAAACAAAGCGAACGGUGAGAGCCGGUCGCAGACUCGCAGCGCUAAAUCGUAAAACAUUGAAAAUGGCGCAAGAAUUUAUGGAAGGGUAAAUAGGCUGGUACGAGUGUUGACGCUGCUUACUUUUGCAGAACUCUCUUGUGCGGGCCUCCCCA